CCUACGGGUGGCAGCAGUGAGGAAUAUUGGUCAAUGGACGAGAGUCUGAACCAGCCAAGUAGCGUGAAGGAUGACUGCCCUAUGGGUUGUAAACUUCUUUUAUAAAGGAAUAAAACGAGGCACGUGUGCCUUUUUGCAUGUACUUCAUGAAUAAGGAUCGGCUAACUCCGUGCCAGCAGCCGCGGUAAUACGGAGGAUCCGAGCGUUAUCCGGAUUUAUUGGGUUUAAAGGGAGCGUAGAUGGGUUGUUAAGUCAGUUGUGAAAGUUUGCGGCUCAACCGUAAAAUUGCAAUUGAUACUGGCAGUCGUGAGUACAGUUGAGGUAAGCGGAAUUCGUGGUGUAGCGGUGAAAUGCUUAGAUAUCACGAAGAACCCCGAUUGCGAAGGCAGCUUACUAAACUGUGACUGACAUUGAUGCUCGAAAGUGUGGGUAUCAAACAGGAUUAGAUACCCUAGUAGUC
rnacentral:rRNA from 1 species